GCGGGCCCCUAUCUUGAAAGCGAACUGCGAAAGCGGCAGGGUGCGGCGUGUGCUGAGAGGUUCGUGAGCGCUGUGUUCGCGCUGUUUCGUCCGCGUGGAAGCGACAGGCAACACGAAGGGCUCUCAAGUAAACCCGAUGGGCACUGGCGGCUCAUUGAAUAAAACCCUAAAGAUGAUGCUAUGGGCAAUUUGCAUCAAGGUGUUCGUCAUCACCUACGAAUUCUUUACGGCGCUUCUGUACUCUUACAAUUGCUACCUAGAC